rnacentral:lncRNA from 13 species
AUGUUAGAGAUUCGAAAAGUCACCAGGCUCCCUGGGCAGGUGAGCUGGGUACCCCUGCCCUCUACAUUCCUAAGAGUCCUCCUGGUGUUCCCUCAGGUCUGGAACCGGACAGAGCCUGAACCUGCUGCCACCAGUCUGCUGAGCCUGUGCUUCCUGAGACCACAGCAGGAGUAAAUCAGAAAAAAUCAAAUUCUACAAAGAACUUGAAAGAUGUUCUUUCAGGCUAGGCAUGGUGGCUUUUUCAGGUCACCUCUUCUGCAAGAAAGGCUCUUGGCAACUGGGUAAGUUUUCUUUGUUUGUUUUUCUUGCUUUUGGGUAUAGUCUAACAGGUGAGGAGUUGGAUGUAUUUUUCUCCCUACAGCUCUGUGCUUAAGCCUUGGCAGAGAGCAAGGCUGCCUACAAGCUGCACAGGUAGGUCAUUGUGUUGGAUUAUUUUUUCUUUCUGAGCCAGAGUCUCACUCUAUCACUCAGGCUGGAGUGCAGUGCUGCAGUCUCAGCUCACUGCAACCUCCACCUCCUGGGUUUAAGCAAUCCUCUGCCUCAGGCUCCUGAGUAGCUGGGAUUACAAGCAUGUGAAGCUAUGUCUGAUUAAUUAUGUAUUUUUAGUAGAGACAGACUUUCUCCAUGUUGGUCAGGCUGGUCUCGAACUCCUGACCUUAGGUGAUUCACCCACCUCAGCCUCCCAAAGUGCUGGAAUUGCAGGCAUGAGCCAUGUG